rnacentral:rRNA from 1 species
UCCGUAGGUGAACCUGCGGAAGGAUCAUUACCGAGUUAGGGUCCUCAAAGGCCCGAUCUCCCAACCCUUUGCUUAUUAUACCUUGUGUUGCUUCGGUAGGUCUGGCUCGUCCUACCGGAGGACCGUAAAACGUCCUCUGGAGAGUGCCUACCGAUAGCCCAAACCAAAAACUCUUGAACAAAACAUGUAUUGUCUGAGUAAACAAAAAAAUUAAAGCAAAACUUUCAACAACGGAUCUCUUGGUUCUGGCAUCGAUGAAGAACGCAGC